CCCAGCUCUAGGCAGCUGCCUAGUUUGCAUUGUACCUAGGUAAGUGUUACACAGGUGGGAGAAAAGUAGCUAAGAGCUGGUGGGCAUCCUGGGCCUGGUUAAUGCCAAAUAAG
ensembl:snoRNA SNORA74 Small nucleolar RNA SNORA74